rnacentral:rRNA from 1 species
GGACCCGCACAAGCGGUGGAUGAUGUGGAUUAAUUCGAUGCAACGCGAAGAACCUUACCUACCCUUGACAUGUCUGGAAGUCCUGAGAGAUCGGGAUGUGCCCGAAAGGGAACCGGAACACAGGUGCUGCAUGGCUGUCGUCAGCUCGUGUCGUGAGAUGUUGGGUUAAGUCCCGCAACGAGCGCAACCCUUGUCAUUAGUUGCUACGCAAGAGCACUCUAAUGAGACUGCCGGUGACAAGCCGGAGGAAGGUGGGGAUGAUGUCAAGUCCUCAUGGCCCUUAUGGGUAGGGCCUCACACGUCAUACAAUGGUCGGUACAGAGGGUAGCCAACCCGUGAGGGGGAGCCAAUCCCAGAAAGCCGAUCGUAGUCCGGAUCGCAGUCUGCAACUCGACUGCGUGAAGUCGGAAUCGCUAGUAAUCGCGGAUCAGCAUGUCG